rnacentral:rRNA from 1 species
CGUGGGGCUACUAUAAUGCAGUCGAACGCUUCUUUCCUCCCGAGUGCUUGCACUCAAUUGGAAAGAGGAGUGGCGGACGGGUGAGUAACACGUGGGUAACCUACCCAUCAGAGGGGGAUAACACUUGGAAACAGGUGCUAAUACCGCAUAACAGUUUAUGCCGCAUGGCAUAAGAGUGAAAGGCGCUUUCGGGUGUCGCUGAUGGAUGGACCCGCGGUGCAUUAGCUAGUUGGUGAGGUAACGGCUCACCAAGGCCACGAUGCAUAGCCGACCUGAGAGGGUGAUCGGCCACACUGGGACUGAGACACGGCCCAGACUCCUACGGGAGGCAGCAGUAGGGAAUCUUCGGCAAUGGACGAAAGUCUGACCGAGCAACGCCGCGUGAGUGAAGAAGGUUUUCGGAUCGUAAAACUCUGUUGUUAGAGAAGAACAAGGACGUUAGUAACUGAACGUCCCCUGACGGUAUCUAACCAGAAAGCCACGGCUAACUACGUGCCAGCAGCCGCGGUAAUACGUAGGUGGCAAGCGUUGUCCGGAUUUAUUGGGCGUAAAGCGAGCGCAGGCGGUUUCUUAAGUCUGAUGUGAAAGCCCCCGGCUCAACCGGGGAGGGUCAUUGGAAACUGGGAGACUUGAGUGCAGAAGAGGAGAGUGGAAUUCCAUGUGUAGCGGUGAAAUGCGUAGAUAUAUGGAGGAACACCAGUGGCGAAGGCGGCUCUCUGGUCUGUAACUGACGCUGAGGCUCGAAAGCGUGGGGAGCAAACAGGAUUAGAUACCCUGGUAGUCCACGCCGUAAACGAUGAGUGCUAAGUGUUGGAGGGUUUCCGCCCUUCAGUGCUGCAGCAAACGCAUUAAGCACUCCGCCUGGGGAGUACGACCGCAAGGUUGAAACUCAAAGGAAU